rnacentral:siRNA from 1 species
AUGUGUUUAUGAGACUCAAACAUA